CCUACGGGUGGCAGCAGUGGGGAAUCUUGGACAAUGGGCGAAAGCCCGAUCCAGCAAUAUCGCGUGAGUGAAGAAGGGCAAUGCCGCUUGUAAAGCUCUUUCGUCGAGUGCGCGAUCAUGACAGGACCCGAGGAAGAAGCCCCGGCUAACUCCGUGCCAGCACCCGCGGUAAGACGGGGGGGGGCAAGUGUUCUUCGGAAUGACGGGGCGUAAAGGGCACGUAGGGGGUGAAUCGGGAUGAAAGUGAGAGUCGCCAAAAAGUGGCGGAAUGCUCUCGAAACCAAUUCACUUGAGUGGUAGAGAGGAGAGUGGAAUUUCGGGUGUAGCGGUGAAAUGCGUAGAUAUACGGAGGAACGCCAAAAGCGAAGGCAGCUCUCUGGGUCCCAACUGACGCUGGGGUGCGAAAGCGUGGGGAGCGAACAGGAUUAGAUACCCCAGUAGUC
rnacentral:rRNA from 1 species